GCAGCACCUCAGGGCAGUGGUCACUCUCAGAGCUGUGCAGCCCCAUCCCCACGUCCUCCCAUGGUGCAUUUCAGACAUACAUGCAGCCUCUCGGGAGAGCCAGCAGUGGGCUUCUCCUCUGGGCUGCCCUGCCUGAAGCAUCCGAAGCUCAUUUGUCUUGCAGCUGAAGUAUGUUUUUUUUUCCUUCUGAGAUGUGAACAAUUUCUGUGGAUCCAUCUGGAUGCUAUUAGGAAAACGUUCCGGGUGCAUGGAGGCUGCUGGCAGCUCCUCACUCGCUUCCUCUGUCCCGGGCGCGCGAGGCAGGGAGUGAUGCACACGAGGGGCUGGGGGUGUGGGUGAGGGUGCUGGCAUGUGAAGGGCAGCAGUCGGGUGGUGUGGAUGGGUGCUGAGCUCCCAGGACAUGCCCAGCACUGUGGGGCCACCCAGGGAUCGACCUAAGUAACAAAUGUGCAGACGAGAAGGGGAGCACAGGGCAGGAACCUGAUGAUGCCCAUCUCUUGCCCUCCCCAUGCUGCUCCUCCCCAGGGCCCUCCAGGCACACCAACCCCCCGGCACAGCCAGCACCAUCCUCCCCUGCCCACCUGGGGACACAGAGGGAUGUGGAGCAAUCUGCACUUCUGCAAGGACUCCUCAGUGCUGAGUUUAAAUUCAUGCUGCUGCUCCUCAGCAGCCCCCUCCCACUUGCUCCCCUCUCUCUUCACUUCUUUAGUUCAGCCCUUUCUCCUUCUUCUGUGCAGUGAUUUGCAGCAGUCCCAGUCUGCUUGUACAACAGCACAGUUCCCUCGGGCCUCAGCUGACAGCUUCCACGGCUUUGGCCAAACCUCUGUUCCCGGAUCUGAAUGCAGAUACAUCUGGAACAGGAAACUAAUGCGCUUCCAAACCUCGAGUUUUUCACUUUAAACCUGAGAUAAAGAGGAAACUUUGUUCUAAAGACAGAUGUAUCAUAACAAAGGACAAACAUAUUACCAGAGGGGCCAAACCACAGUGCUCCUGAGAAUCCAGUACCUCAAAGAGCCAG
rnacentral:lncRNA from 1 species